UACGGGGGGGGGCAAGCGUUGUUCGGAAUUACUGGGCGUAAAGGGCGCGUAGGCGGUUGGAUAAGUCAGCUGUGAAAAACCACGGGCUUAACUCGUGGCCUGCAGUUGAGACUGUCUGGCUUGAGUGUGGGGAGAGGAGAGUGGAAUUCCUGGUGUAGCGGUGAAAUGCGUAGAUAUCAGGAGGAACACCGGUGGCGAAGGCGGCUCUCUGGACCACAACUGACGCUGAGGCGCGAAAAGCUAGGGGGAGCAAACAGG
rnacentral:rRNA from 1 species